UGCCGGAGUGGUGGAAUUGGCAGACGCAACGGAUUCAAAAUCCGUCGAGGGUAACUUCGUGCGGGUUCGAUUCCCGCCUUCGGCACCAU
rnacentral:tRNA from 1 species